UAGGGAAUAUUGCGCAAUGAACGAAAGUUUUGACGCAGCGACGCCGCGUGAGGGAAGAAGGUCUUCGGAUCGUAAACCUCUGUCAGCAGGGAAGAAAUUUUUAGUGUGCUAAUCAGCAUUAAAUUGACGGUACCUGCAAAGGAAGCACCGGCUAACUCCGUGCCAGCAGCCGCGGUAAUACGGAGGGUGCGAGCGUUAAUCGGAAUUACUGGGCGUAAAGCGCUCGUAGGUGGUAUGUCAAGUCAAGGGUGAAAUCCCCGCGCUCAACGUGGGAACUGCCUUUGAAACUGGCAGACUGGAGUGUGUGAGAGGAUAGUGGAAUUCCAGGUGUAGGAGUGAAAUCCGUAGAUAUCUGGAGGAACAUCAGUGGCGAAGGCGACUAUCUGGCACAUAACUGACACUGAGGAGCGAAGCGUGGGUAGCAAACAGGAUUAGAUACC
rnacentral:rRNA from 1 species